rnacentral:tmRNA from 1 species
GGGGGCGAAAUAGGGUUCGACAGAGAGAAAGAGGGAUAGUGUGGCCUGCCAAGUUUGUCAGGGUCUUGUAAAAACCUGACAAAAAAUAACUGCCGAAACAGCAAAUGUUUUGGCUGCAUAAAAAUGCAGCCACCCAUUUACAGAGUCUGCCUCUGACUCUGUAAAAUGGGUCGGUUAAAGAGGCCUUCUUUUGCAGGUUAUCCUUUUCCCUGCAAAAGAAGUAUAAAAAGGAUGCGGAUAAAAUGGCUUGAGAGAUGUGCCAUUUUAUCCAAAGAAAAAAACAUCUCUCUACGCAGGUAGAUACACUAUCCUGAUUCUCUCUGGACGCGGGGGCAGUACCCGCCGCCUCCACUA